rnacentral:rRNA from 1 species
UUUUAUGAGAAUUUGAUCCUGGUUCAGAUUGAAUGCUAACAGCGUGGAUGAGGCAUGCAAGUCGAACGAGACUGCAAGCUUGUCUUGCAGACUAGUGGCGAAAGGGUUAGUAAUACAUGAAUAACUCACCUUUUACUUGGGAAUAACGAUUGGAAACGAUCGCUAAUACCUAAUGAGGAAUACCGAGAUAACUCGGAUAUUUCAAAGCAGGGGAUACCUUCGGGUACCUUGCGGUAAAUGAGAGGUUCAUGCGAUAUCAGCUUGUUGGUGUGGUAAAGGCGCACCAAGGCUAUGACGUCUAGGCGGACUGAGAGGUUGACCGCCAACACUGGGACUGAGAUACUGCCCAGACUCCUACGGGAGGCUGCAGUCGAGAAUCAUUCGCAAUGGGCGAAAGCCUGACGAUGCGACGCUGUGUGAGCGAUGAAGGCCUUCGGGUUGUAAAGCUCUUUCGCCGGGGAACAAGAGAUAGUACCUAAUAAGUACUAAAUUUGAGCGUACCCGGUAAAGAAGUACCGGCUAACUCCGUGCCAGCAGCUGCGGUAAUACGGAGGGUGCAAGCAUUAAUCGGAUUUAUUGGGUGUAAAGAGCGCGUAGGCGGAUUUGUAAGUUAGGUGUGAAAUCUCGAAGCUCAACUUCGAGGCUGCAUCUAAAACUACUUUUCUAGAGGGUAGACGGAGAAAAUGGAAUUCCACAUGUAGCGGUGAAAUGCGUAGAUAUGUGGAGGAACACCUGUGGCGAAAGCGAUUUUCUAGUUUAUUCCUGACGCUGAGGCGCGAAAGCAAGGGGAGCAAACAGGCUUAGAUAUCCUGGUAGUCCUUGCAGUAAACGAUGCAUACUUGGUGUAGCUGGAUUCAACCCCGGCUGUGCCGUAGCUAACGUGUUAAGUAUGCCACCUGAGGAGUACGCCCGCAAGGGUGAAACUCAAAAGAAUUGACGGGGGCCCGCACAAGCAGUGGAGCAUGUGGUUUAAUUCGAUGCAACGCGAAGAACCUUACCUAGGCUUGACAUAUAGAGGACCGCACCAGAAACGGUGUUUCCCGCAAGGGCCUCUAUACAGGUGCUGCAUGGCUGUCGUCAGCUCGUGCCGUGAGGUGUUGGGUUAAGUCCCGCAACGAGCGCAACCCUUGUCGUUAGUUACCAGCACAUAAUGGUGGGGACUCUAACGAGACUGCCUAGGUUAACUAGGAGGAAGGUGAGGAUGACGUCAAGUCCGCAUGGCCCUUAUGUCUGGGGCUACACACGUGCUACAAUGGUCGGUACAGAAGGCAGCAAAGCCGAAAGGUGGAGCAAAUCCAGAAAAACCGACCUCAGUUCGGAUUGAAGUCUGCAACUCGACUUCAUGAAGCCGGAAUUGCUAGUAAUGGCGCGUCAGCUACAGCGCCGUGAAUACGUUCUCGGGCCUUGUACACACCGCCCGUCACAUCAUGGAAGUUGGUUUUACCCGAAGCCGCUGACUCAACCGCAAGGGGAGAGGCGUCUAAGGUGAGGCUGAUGACUAGGAUGAAGUCGUAACAAGGUAGCCCUACCGGAAGGUGGGGCUGGAUCACCUCCUUUAAGGACAG